CGCGGCCUAUCAGCUUGUUGGUGGGGUGAUGGCCUACCAAGGCGACGACGGGUAGCCGGCCUGAGAGGGUGUCCGGCCACACUGGGACUGAGAUACGGCCCAGACUCCUACGGGAGGCAGCAGUGGGGAAUAUUGCACAAUGGGCGCAAGCCUGAUGCAGCGACGCCGCGUGGGGGAUGACGGCCUUCGGGUUGUAAACCUCUUUCAGUAGGGACGAAGCGCAAGUGACGGUACCUACAGAAGAAGCACCGGCCAACUACGUGCCAGCAGCCGCGGUAAUACGUAGGGUGCGAGCGUUGUCCGGAAUUACUGGGCGUAAAGAGCUCGUAGGUGGUUUGUCGCGUUGUUCGUGAAAACUCACAGCUUAACUGUGGGCGUGCGGGCGAUACGGGCAGACUGGAGUACUGCAGGGGAGACUGGAAUUCCUGGUGUAGCGGUGGAAUGCGCAGAUAUCAGGAGGAACACCGGUGGCGAAGGCGGGUCUCUGGGCAGUAACUGACGCUGAGGAGCGAAAGCGUGGGGAGCGAACAGGAUUAGAUACCCUGGUAGUCCACGCCGUAAACGGUGGGUACUAGGUGUGGGGUUUCCUUCCUUGGGAUCCGUGCCGUAGCUAACGCAUUAAGUACCCCGCCUGGGGAGUACGG
rnacentral:rRNA from 1 species